UAGAACUUGGUGUAGAAUGGUAGCACGGAGAUUUUUGAUUUCUCAAGGGUAGGUUCAAUUCCUAUGAUUCUAG
rnacentral:tRNA from 2 species